UUUACGAAAGGCAAAAGAAUAAAUGAAUAGAGUGUAGGGUUUUGACAGGAACUCAAGUCUUCUUCGCCGUUCAUCCCAAUCGCCCCUCAUUCAAAUAUUUCUUUUAUCCAAUAACAACCGACCCAUAUUAUUCAUCACCUAUCCUUACCCUUUUACACCUUCGUCCCUGCACACGAUCCAGAAUCCCUUCGCCUAAAAAAAAAGGUCGAGCUAUGCGCCGCCGCAAACCAGCCUCACCACACCUUCCGAUUUAAACAUCCGCCGCCAUUGAAGGUUGUGUCUGGUUCUUUCGUUUUGCCUCCGUGCGACCCAACUCGGUCCUUGACUAGCCGCCGCCGCAACACCUCGUCACUGUUGUUUUAGUUUCUGCACCAUAAACCAGCCACCUCAGUCGCUCUGGGCUAGAUCAAGAUCUUAUACCAGCAUCGCCUCUUGAUCUAUUCUGCUUAUUCCAACUUGUAGAGGUUCUUGUACUAUUUGUGGGCGACUUGAUUUCUGUGUUGCUUUGCUCUGCUAUAUCUAAGUAUGUAUUGGGUAAAGUAAUAUGGGAUGAUCUGGGAUUUCAGUGAGGAGCGUUAGGAAGUUGCUGACCAAGAUUAUUUAUUUUAGUAAUGUAAUAAAUGUAAUUAGGACCUUUUAUUUAAUGUUAUGGAUUGGUUUUUAGUUUUGAUAUCUGUAAGAGUGACACGUCAGC
rnacentral:lncRNA from 1 species